UACGUAGGGUCCGAGCGUUGUCCGGAAUUAUUGGGCGUAAAGAGCUCGUAGGCGGUUUGUCGCGUCUGCUGUGAAAACCUAAGGCUCAACCUUGGGCUUGCAGUGGGUACGGGCAGACUAGAGUGCGGUAGGGGUGACUGGAAUUCCUGGUGUAGCGGUGGAAUGCGCAGAUAUCAGGAGGAACACCGAUGGCGAAGGCAGGUCACUGGGCCGCAACUGACGCUGAGGAGCGAAAGCGUGGGGAGCAAACAGG
rnacentral:rRNA from 1 species